GAAUCAUGCCUGUAAUCCCAGUGUGAGAGGCUGAGGUGGGAGGAUCACUUGAGCUUAGGAGUUUGAAACCAGCCUAGGCAACAUGGCAAGACCCCAUCUCUACAAAAAAUCUUAAAGUUAGCUGGGCGUGGUGCUGCACACACCUGUAGUCCCACCUUCUUAGCAGGCUGAGGCAGGAGGAUAACUUGAGGUUGCGGUGAUCUGUGAUUGCACCACUGCACUCUAGCCUGGGUGAUAGAGUGAGACUUUGUCUGUUAAGAAAAAAAUUUCUGAAAGAUGGUGAGGUCAGCAAUUGUCUAACUAUACAAACUCUGUAUAUGAGUUGAAAUAGUUCUCUUGUUCCCUUCAAAUGGAGGUGGACAAAACUAUUAACUUUCUCUUGUCCUUAUGUCCCGUCACCUACCUUUCUAUAAUUUUUAUUAGGCGCUUUAAUGUGUGGGCUGAAAUCAAUAGAGGACAAGCUAUUAAAAAUUAUUGGUUGGCUGUGGCUCCUCACUAAAUAUUAAAGCAGCCUGGCAAAUUAGCACAUACCUCUAGGCACUAGGCCUGAGAGAAAUAAUGGUCUAGGCAAAUAGACACUAUAAUACAAGUAGAAAAUUCUGCCAGUGUGUUGCUCUGGGUUUCUUUUGACUGCUGCUGUUCACUGUUAAUAUUAUUCUGUUUUUUUUCUUUUAAUAGUGUGAGGAGAUGUGGUGGGGACCAUUAACUGUUGGAAGGAUUCCUUUUAAGGAUGCAUUAUAUCAAGAGCUAGAUAUCAGAGCCACUUGGGAGAAAUAAGAAACAGGUGUAGAAACAGGAUUGGUAGACAACAUGUUCAUGCAAAUGAUAUGAAGAAGAUUGGCACCUGGAAAAUCAAGGAAGAGGUGGGGCCGUGUAGGCAGAGACUUAAUUUUCUCAAGUGAAUGAAGAAAAAAGCACAUGGUGAGGCUGAUUCUGUGGGGAUGUAUUUGAGCUAGAAGAUUCAGGAGGGAAAAUUAGUUCUAAGACAAAGAUGGAGACAUCAAUAAGAUUGGGAAAUACUCAGACGUCAGAAGAAUUUGGGUUUGAAUCAGAAUUCCUUUACAUACUUUCUAAGUUUCAAGUUAAGCAGCAAUUCAGUGUUUCAAACCUUACGAUUGAUAAACAAAAAAUAAAAUGAAAUUCACCGAUUUAUUCAUUAUGCUUUUCUGAUUAUGAAAACUUAAGAAUGAAAUAGCAUAUUUUGGGUUCCCCAUGUGUACAAGGAGGAAUUUAUAGUUUGUCAUUCUGUCUGCACUCCAGCAACUCCCAAAUCUUAGCUAACGUAAUCUGGGGUGUGGAAGCAAAGAAUACAUUUUGUACCAUGUAUCAUAUUCAAGAAGAAUUUUUCAUGUUUACAUUUUUAUAACCUGUAACCAUUUUUAUAAAAACUAUUGAGAUUAACACGGUUUAACUCAUUCACUGUUUACCUGCUAUUUCCCACUUGGAGGUUCUAAACUUUGUUCACUUUUAGGUCAAAUGAAUUAUGUUAAGUUUUUCUUAUGAAGUUACGUGACAGAGACUGUCUUUAUUUACUUUUGUGCAUGAACAACAAUUUGGCAGAGCAAAUUGGUUCAUGGCAUUUUCCUCUUGGCGGUUUCAUACGCGUUGUCUGUUAUCUGACAUUACAUAUGGCAGAUGAGUACCCUCAGAUCAACCUAACUUUUUCCUGUUUGCAUAUUGGGUUCUGUUUUUAUCUCUGAAGCAAAACUUUCCUAUAGAGUACAGAUAUUCUUCUCUUAUAGUAUAAGCGACGAACAUUGGGUACCAAAAAGUCCCAGAAAAGCAUACAAACUCCAUCAUGAAAAGGAAGGAUGAUGAAGACGGAUGGUCACACACACAAUCAGAUAGAAGGAAGUCUAGCAUUAAGUUACACAAUGAUGGACUCACCAAGUAACCCAAAAAGAAAGCUGAGCACCCAGCCCAGGUUAGCCCCCCUGUUUCCUGAUAGAUAAAUCUGCUGGAUGAUUCUGUUGAUUAUAGUGAGAAGAUAAUGAUACACAGUGAAAAAUAAUGAUGCACCAUAAAGUAAUUAUAAAACAGAGGUCAGACAUCCUGUAACAAGAUGAUAUGGGCAUUUUAGUAUAAAGUGGUAGUGCUAGGAAUACAGUUUAAGGUGGAAAGGGGGUAGGAGGAAGGAGGAAGUGUAUUUCUUUAGUCACAUUAGCCAGAUUCUCUACCUUGACAUUGUAUCUCCCAGAUCUAUUUAGAGAUAAGAGAUUUGGGCUGGAAGUCGUUCUUUUUCUUUUCUUUUUUUUUUUUAAUGGAAUCUGAUAUUUUUGCACUGAGGACAUAUAACAGUCUCCAAAAUUGGAUUUUCUUUUCUUAAUAAAUUAUUCCCAGAAAUGUAUAAUUUCACUGAAUCUUCUUAUUGCUAUAUUAAUCAGACUAGACAAUUGUAACACAUUAUAAUUAUUGUUACUGCAGUAACAACUCCCCAAUCUUAGUGGCUUAUAACAAACAAGGUUUGCUUCUUCUGCCUAUCACAGCCAAAUAGGAUCCCUGCAUCUUUUCUCCUCCCCUGUAACUUAUGUAGGAAGAGCAAUUCCCAUCCCUGUACCAGUGGCAGAGGCAAAGAGAGGCCCUGGCAAACCAUACACUACUUUUUAGAGCCUUCACUUAAAAGUGACCUGUCCCACUCAUCCCAUUUCAUUGUUCUAAGUGUGUCAAAUGCCCAAAGCUAAUUUCAAGGGAGCAGUGUUGUGUGAUCCUAUUAAGGUGUCUGAAGGGGGCAGAAACAGAAAUAUCAGUGAACGAAGCAAAUGACCACCAUUGUGUGUUGUUUCUUGUUCUUCAAAAUAUUUUUCAGGCUUUCUAUGACAUUUUUUGUUUUGAGAUAGAGUCUCACUCUGUUGCCCAGGCUGAAGUGCAGUAAUACGAUCUCGGCUCACUGCAACCUCUGCCUCCUGGGUUCAACUGAUUCUCCUGCCUCAGACUCCCGAGUAGCUCGGAUUACAGGCUCACACACCAUGCCUGGCUAAUUUUUCAUACUUUUAGUAGAGACAGUGUUUCACCAUGUUGGCCAGGCUAGUCUUGAACUCCUGGCCUCGAGUGAUCCACCUGCCUCGGCCUCCCAAAGUGCUGGGUGCUGGGAUUACAAGUGUGAGCCACUGUGCCCAGCCUCUAUGUCAUUUUUUCAAAAACAAUUUUUUUCUCCCCUAAAUGUAGAAAGGCUCCAACCAGGCCUAAGUGCUAACAAUGUCAAGUUAUCCUAUUAUAUUCUCUUAUAACACUAUUGAUCCAUAUCACAAAAAUGUUAUUAAGCACUGAUUCUAGGCACUGAAAAAAAAGCAUUAAAAUGAGUUUAGCAAGGAUAAAUGUAAAACACUGCAUACAUUGUACAAAUAUAGAAGGGGUUAUAGUUUUAUGGUUGUUUUGAUGAUGAGCUCAUUGGGAGCUAAUAAAGUAUCAGAGCUGCUAAAGAAAAAAAAAAGCAAAUACAAUGUCAGGUUGUAUUAAGAGCAGCAUUGUCCAGGUCAAGUGUAUAGUGGCACUACUGCAGAGCCCAGAGAUCUGACCACUUCUGGAAUAUCAUGGAUUUUUAUAGGAUAUCAAAAUCCAUACGGGGAUAGAAUAUCCAGUGGAACACAAGGGGAUGAUAGUGGGACCAUAAACCAUAUGGUGGGGGAAGUCUUGUGAAGAUGGGAGAUGCUCAGCCUGAUAGUUGAGGCACAAAAUGCAUGUAGUGCUACUCUUGAGAACAGAAGCAACUCCAAUGAAUGAAGUUUCCAGGAAGAUACAUUUCCACUCUGGUGGAAAAAGCAAAAGUUUCGUGAUCAAAAUAAAUUCGACCCAGCAAUCCCAUUACUGGGUAUAUACCCAAAGGAAUUUAAAUUUUUCUAUUAUAAAGACACAUGCAUACAUAUGUUCAUUGCAGCACUAUUCACAAUAGCAAAGACAUGGAAUCAAUCCAAAUGUCCAUCAGUGAUAGAGUGGAUAAAGAAAAUGUCAUACAUAUAAACCAUGGAAUAUUAUACUGCCAUUAAAAAGAACAAGAUCAUCAUUUCCUUUGCAGGGACAUGGAUGGAGCUGGAGGCUGUUAUCCUUAGCAAACUAACACAGGAACAGAAAACCAAAUACCACAUGUUCUCACUUACACGUGGGAGCUAAAUGAUGAGAAUACAUGAACACAUAGAGGGUAACAACAUACACUGGGUCCUAUUGAAAGUGGAGGGUGGGAGGAGGGAGAGAAUUAUGUAUUAGUUCAUUUUCAUGCUGCUGAUAAAGACAUACCCAAGACUGGGAAGAAAAAGAGGUUUCAUUGGACUUACAGUUCCACAUGGCUGGGGAGGCCUCAGAAUUAUGGUGGGAGGUGAAAGGCACUUCUUACAUGGUGGUGGCAAGAGAAAAUGAGGAAGAAGCAAAAGUGGAAAUCCCUGAUAAACCCAUCAGAUCUCAUGAGACUUAUUCACUAUCUUGAGAAUAGCACAGGAAAGACCAGCUCCCGUGAUUCAGUUACCUCCCCCUGGGUCCCUCCCACAACACAUGGGAAUUCUGGGAGAUAAAGUUCAAGUUGAGAUUUGGGUGGGGACACAGCCAAACUAUAUGCUUCCACCCCUAGCCCCUCCGAAUCUCAUGUCCUCACAUUUCAAAACCUUCCUAACAGUCCCCCAAAGUCUUACCUCAUUUCAGCAUUAACCCAAAAGUUCACAGUCCAAAGUCUCGUCUGAGACAAGGCAAGUCCUUUUCACUUAUGAGCCUGUAAAAUCAAAAGCAAGCUACUUACUUCCUAGAUAUAAUGGGGGUACAGGUACUGGGUAAAUACAGCCAUUCCAAAUGGGAGAAAUUGGCCAAAACAAAUGGGUUAUAGGGCCCAAGCAAGUCCAAAAUCCAGUGGGGCAGUCAAAUUUUAAAGCUCCCAAAACUAUCUUCUUUGACUCCAUGUCACAUUAAUACAAGACGUGGGUUCCCAUGGUCUUGGGCUGUUCUGCCCCUGUGGCUUUGCAGAGUACAGCCUCCCUCCUGGCUGCUUUUACAGGCUGCUGUUGAGUGUCUGUGGCUUUUUCAGGCACACAGUGCAAGCUGUCAGAGGAUCUACCAUUCUGGGGUCUGGAGAACAGUGGCCCUCUUCUCACAGCUCCACUAAGCAGUGCCCCAGUAGGGACUUUGUGUGGGAUCUCCGACCCCACAUUUCCCUUCCGCACUGCCCUAGCGGAGAUUCUCCGUGAGGGCCCUGCACCUACAGCAAACUUUUGCCUGGGCAUCCAGGCAUUUCCAUACAUCUUCUGCAUUUAGGUGGAAGUUCCCAAACCUCAAUUCUUGACUUCUGUGCACCCAUAGGCUCAACAACACGUGGAAGCUGCCAAAGCUUGGGGCUUCUACCCUCUGAAGCCACAGCCCGAGCUGUAUGUUGGCCCCUUUCAGCCAUGGCUGAAGUGGUUGGGACACAGGGCAUCAAGUCCUUAGGCUGCACACAGCAGAGGGACCCUGGGCCUGGGCCACGAAACCACUUUUUCCUCCUGGGCCUCCAGGCUUGUGAUAGGAGGGACUGCUGUGAAGGUCUCUGACAUGGCCUGGAGACAUUUUCCCCAAGGUCUUGGGGAUUCACAUUAGGCUCCUUGCUACUUAUGCAAAUUUCUGCAGCUGGCUUGAAUUUCUCCCCAGAAAAAUGGGUUUUUCUUUUCUGUCGCAUAGUCAGGCUGCAAAUUUUCCAAACUUUUAUGCUCUGCUUCCCUUAUGAAACUGAAUGCCUUUAACAGAACCCAAGUCACCUCUUGAAUGCUUUGCUGCUUAGAAACUUCUUCCACCAGAUACCCUAAAUCAUUUUUCUCAAGUUCAAAAUUCCACAAAUCCCCGGGGCAGGGGCAAAAUGCUGCCAGUCUCUUUGCUAAAACAUAACAAGGAAUCACAUUUACUCCAGUUCCCAACAAGUUCGUCAUCUCCAUCUGAGACCACCUCAGCCUAGACAUUAUUGUCCAUAUCACUCUCAGCAUUUUGGGCAAAGCCAUUCAACAAGUCUCUAGGAAGUUCCAAACUUUCCCACAUUUUCCUGUCUUCUUCUGAGCCCUCCACACCAUUCCAGCCUGUGCCUGUUACCCAGUUCCAAAGUCACUUCCACAUUUUCAGAUAUCUUUUCAGCAACACCCCACUCUACUGGUACCCGUUUACUGUAUUAGUUUGUUUUUACGCUGCUGAUAAAGAUAUACUUGAGACUGGGAAGUAAAAGAGGUUUAAUUAGACUUACAGUUCCACAUGGCUGGGGAGGCCUUAGAAUCAUGGCAGGAGGUGAAAAGUACUUCUUACAUGGUGGCAGCAAGAAGAAAUGAGGAAGAAGCAAAAGUGGAAACCAUUGAUAAACCCAUCACAUCUCGUGAGACUUAUACACUAUCACGAGAAUAGCAGGGGAAAGACCAGCCCCCAUGAUUCAAUUACCUCCCCCGGGUCCUUCCCACAACAUGUCGGAAUUGUGGGAGAUACAAUUCAAGUUGAGAUUUGUUGGGGAUGCAGUCAACCAUACCAAAUAACUAAUGGAUACUAGGCAUAAUACCUGGGUAAUGAAAUAAUCUAUACAACAAACCAACAUGGCAGACAUUUACCUAUGUAUCAAACCUGCGUAUCUUGAACAUGUACCCCUGAACUUAAAAUAAAAGUUAAAAAUAAAUAAAUAGUGGCUACAAAUUCAAGUGAGCAAUUGCCCAGCAGUGUGUGAUCUUGGAAAAGUUAUUUAACCUCUUAGAACCUCAGUUUUCUUAUCUGUAAUAUAGGGGCAAUGAGAUCUAUCUUAUGUGGUAUUCUAUACUAUUAUAUCCAUUUCACUGAUGAACUAUUUGGAGCUGCUCUGCCAAUAUGAUAGCUGUUGAGCACUUGAAAUAUAACUGAUCCAGAUUGAAUUGUGCAGUAGGUAUGAAACACACAUUGGAUUCUGAAGACUUC
rnacentral:lncRNA from 10 species